rnacentral:sRNA from 2 species
AUGGUGGGCACUCUAAGGAGACUGCCGGUGACAAACCGGAGGAAGGUGGGGAUGACGUCAAGUCAUCAUGGCCCUUACGGCCUGGGCUACACACGUGCUACAAUGGUCGGUACAGAGGGUUGCCAAGCCGCGAGGUGGAGCUAAUCCCAUAAAACCGAUCGUAGUCCGGAUCGCAGUCUGCAACUCGACUGCGUGAAGUCGGAAUCGCUAGUAAUCGCGAAUCAGAAUGUCGCGGUGAAUACGUUCCCGGGCCUUGUACACACCGCCCGUCACACCAUGGGAGUGGGUUGCACCAGAAGUAGCUAGUCUAACCUUCGGGAGGACGGUUACCACGGUGUGAUUCAUGACUGGGGUGAAGUCGUAACAAGGUAGCCGUAGGGGAACCUGCGGCUGGAUCACCUCCUUAAUCGACGACAUCAGCUGCUCCAUAAGUUCCCACACGAAUUGCUUGAUUCAUUGAAGAAGACGAUAAGAAGCAGCCCGAAAUUGGGUCUGUAGCUCAGUUGGUUAGAGCGCACCCCUGAUAAGGGUGAGGUCGGCAGUUCGAAUCUGCCCAGACCCACCAAUUUUGUGUGGGAAACGCCUGUAGAAAUACGGGGCCAUAGCUCAGCUGGGAGAGCGCCUGCCUUGCACGCAGGAGGUCAGCGGUUCGAUCCCGCUUGGCUCCACCACUACUGCUUCUGAAGUUUUAAAGCUUAGAAAUGAGCAUUCCAUCAGUGUGAUGGUGAAUGUUGAUUUCUAGUCUUUGAUUAGAUCGUUCUUUAAAAAUUUGGGUAUGUGAUAGAAAGAUAGACUGAACGUUACUUUCACUGGUAACGGAUCAGGCUAAGGUAAAAUUUGUGAGUUCUCUUAGUUGAGAAAUUCGAAUUUUCGGCGAAUGUCGUCUCACAGUAUAACCAGAUGCUGG